rnacentral:lncRNA from 1 species
GGACACAAAAAAAAAAAAAUUAUUGUAACCACACCCUGCCUUGCAUUGUUGGACUUCCUAUACAAUAAUUUCUCGACAUAACAAAUUAUCUUUUGUAUAAUUUAUUUUGAAACAACAUUCAAGCAAAAAAGAUAAAUCUUCAAUGGAAUGAAUAGAUACCAAGCUAACUCGCAAAAAAUAUGGUGGCACCAUAUCAUUGACCACAUCUUCUUCGUGUAAGACCAUAUAAGCCUCCUUUACCGCAUACACCUAUCCUCAUAUAUUGUUCCACGACCAAAUAUCAGCUGCAUAAAUCUACAAAUGAACAUUAGUCAAAAAAGUUAUACAUUCCUUCACCAACUAUUCCUCUUAAGCAAACAAACGCCUUCUCCACCUCCACCCUCACCCCUAAACACUUUCACUACGCAACAAGCCAACGAUAACAUUAAUAUACUCCUUCUAUUCUAAAGAAAAAUUAUAUAACAUAAAAAACUUUUCUCCCACCAACCCCCAUUCCCCAAUCACCCAAAGAUACUACCAAAAUAAAGUAUUUUCUUCCAUCCCUUACAAUUCUAUACAAAUCAUUAUCCCACCACCUAGAACCCUGCAUUAAGCUCUCUCAUACCCUACCAAAAUCCUCUCCAUAUUUAUUAACCAACAUCUUAGAUUAAAUAUAUUUUUUCUUCAAAUUUAGUCUUUAAAUAUAUUUUUUUUAGUCAAUUUGGUCAAUAAAAUUACUAGUUAAAGAGACAUUUAAAGACGUGCUUGUAAUUUUAAAACAUUAUGAGAUUAUAGCGACAACACAUAGCACAUUUAAGAAAAAUUACUAUUUUUUUUAAUACUAUACAUAUAACAAAAUUUGAAAGAGAUAUAUAGUGUAACCGAUACUCAGUUUUGACGUUCUUCUUUGAGGUAAAUUAUGAUUUAUGGAUACUUAUUUACCUAAUAUAGACAUUUUCUUUUAAUAUUUGACUUUGCAUUUUAUAUAGUCCAAGAAGGUUGGGUUAAAUAAUUUUUAAUUUCUAUAAAAUUUUGAAAUUUUAUUUUUAGUAUUUGUAAAAAAAGUACAUUUUUUAGUCCUUAUAAAAUUAUCAUGCAAGUAAUUUUAGUCUCUGAUGGAACAUCAACAUAUAUUUUUGAAUAAUUUUUUUCACACAUAUUUACGACACUAUAAAAAGUUCAUAUACAAAAAAUGAGCUAAAAAUUCGAUUUCUAUAACCAUAUUUUCGUUACUUUUAUUUUGAGCACAUGUCGUUUAAAAAAUUCAUAUUUAAUUCAUCCUAAGUUAUAAAAUUCUAAAUUUUUUUGAAUGAACUUUUAAUAAUUUUCUAAACAUGCUUACAAAAAAUUAUUCAAAAAUUUAAAGUUGAAGAAUAUUUCGUUUUAGCAAAGACUAAAGUAACUUGCAUAAUAAUUUUGUAGGGAAUAAGAAAUGUGACUUUUUUACAAAAUUUUAAAAUUUUAUAAGCCUGAAAACUUAUUUAUUCCUAAAAUUUUAUAUAAAAUUGUAAUUUAAUUAUAUAUGUAAUCAAUAAGGUCUUUACAAAGACCAUAAGUUUGUCUCUAAGUAAGUAUAUAGGCUCACAAGUAUUUAUGUAUACUUUAAAUCUUUAUAAAAAUAUAAGUACGCAGAUGUAACAAUUUGAAUCAAAAUAUAUUAUAAUAUUACAAAAAUUCAUUAAAAUUUUCAGAAAAACACAUAAAAUUAAUUAUAUUGUUCAAUAUAAUACAAAUUUUAUCAAAUUCGUAACCCAAAUCUUCAAAUAAACUCAUAUUUUCAUUCUUUAUUUGAUGUUGUUAGAGAUGAAAAUAUGAGUUUAUUAAAGAUUUAGUUAUGAAUUUGAUGAAAUUUGUAUUAUAUUGAGGAUGAAAAUUAAUUUUAUGGGUUUUGUUUGAAAUUUUUGAAUUUUUGCAAAAAAAAUAAUAACAUUAUUACAUUUUAAAACAUAAAAGAUCAAAAUGUUACUUAAAAUUAUAAUAAAGGAUCAAGUCGGGAAGAAAAAAAUGAUUAAAGAUUAAAACGUUAACUGAAAUUAAGUUAAGGGACCACAUAUACUAUUUAACCUAUUAUCAAUAACAAUAUAUUACUAUAUUAUUAUAUGCAAUUAAAUAGAUCAGUAUAUUUGAUGUAUAGGCCGUAUGAAAAAAUGUCUACACAAUUUUAGGUUGAUUUUAAGUAUUUUUUAAAUAGAUUUUUAGAAUCUUUUAUCUUAAUUUGUUUAAUAAUAAUGUAAUUAUGAAAUUGUCUAAACAUGAUUUUGAAUUGAUUAGUGUGUUUCAAAACUUUCAUUUGUUUAAAAAUCUUAGAUUAGCGUGUGUUUAGUUAUGCUGUGAUUAAAAUUAAUUUUUAAUGAAUUAAUUUUGUAAAAUUAACUAUUUUAAAAGUGAAUUAAAUAUAAAAUGUUUUAUAAUUAAAUAUAUUAAUGUAAAAUUAAAUUAAACAAUAAAUUUUUCAAAAGCUAUAGAUUCUAAUUUCAAGGUUCAAUCAAUUCUAAAAAUAAAAUUAAUUUAAAAUCACAAUGACAAAUGGUGUGCCAAAAGGAACCGAUUGUAACUUCUUAAAACACCCCUAAAUUUACACAUAGUAUGAUAGACAAACAUCAAAUCAAAUAUAGACAAAAUUAACUUUACACUUCAUAAAUUAAUUUUAACUCCUUUAAAAAUAGAAGUUAACCAACCAUACAUAAACCCUAUAAGAUUCUCAAAUGUUUUUCUAUAAGCAAAGAACUCCAAUAAAAUAAAGAGAUUCCACACACCCUCAAGCACAAGAUGUGAAAAAGUUGGAGAAAUAAAAAAAAGUCGAGGAACAUAACUUGAAAACAACUGCACAAUGACAGCAAAAUGUAGCAACAACCUUCCAACAAUAAAUGACAGAAACAGAACCUACUUAUAAAAAGCAGAGAUGUCUAGUUCAGAGGAAAACGUUCUCAUACAUUUCCAUUUAUAAUUAAACAUUUAACAAUUGUUACCUAACUAAUUAGGUACAAAUGACUAAUAAACUUUGAUCAACGUAUUGUUUAGAAAAAUUCAAAUUAAAGUCUUAAUUAAAAUAAUCAUUUAUCGGAUUUUAUUUAUUUAUUCAAUUUACUAAAAAUAAUUUCUUCUACAAAUUAGACCUUUAAAUUAUGGUAGUUGAUUUUAGUCAAAUAACCUCCUUAAUCCCGGAUUAAAAGUAUGAGGUAUUAUAGGUUUGAAUUCAAAAUCUCUUUAUUUUUUUAUGAAUUUCAUAGUAAGAUUCUUAAAAAAAUAUCCUAGACAAAAUGUAAGGUUGUUGGGUGGAAAAUUUCAGGUGAAAAAAAUAAAAUUUCCUUGACAUGCCGUACACUCACAAUUCCUAAUGUUUUAGUAUUCUCUUUGAUCUGUCAAAAACAAAUAUUCUCUUUAAAUUUGGAGCAUUUGUUGAGCUAUCAAAAUCUUGAACCUAUCUAUUUUGUUAGUAUAUGAUUAUUUAAGCUUCUAUAAUCCUUCUAACAAGGUGGAUAAAAUGUUGGGACAAACUCUUAUUAAUAAAGUUUUAAUUAUCGAUAAUGUUUUUUAUAGAGUAAUUUUGAAUUUACACUUAGAAUUCACAUAAUUAAAUAAUACAUGGUUGCUAUGUUUUAAUUUAUAUUAUUAGAACAACAACAAUUUCCGCCAUUGGCUUAUAAUAAUUUUUGACUAAUUUUGGCCUAUUCUAGAAUUAAGUCACCACCUAGCUAGUAUUAAUGCAAUCUUAAUCUAGCUUUGGUGAGAACACAAAAAAUCUAAUAGAAUUUGUCAGCAGAUGCCAAGGCAAAGAUAAUAAACAACCAAAAUCAUUACAAUAUUAAAAAUAUAUUUUAGUAACGUGGUCUAUUAAUUUGGUUUAUCCUAAUAUUGAAUACUUAGGAGAGGUAGGAAUAAUUCAAGUUGUUUAACAUGGCUUAUCACUUAGUUUACAAUAAUUUUAGGCCGAAUAUUUCUUAAGAGAUAGAGUAUAAAUCUUAUCUGAUAUAUAUCAACUAUAAAAUGUUAUUUGAUAUUACUUUAACUAAUAAUAAUUUCACCACUUUCCCAAUUUGUAUUUUUUAUAUAUAAAUAAUUAUUUAGAAGCCUAUUAUAUGUAGUUCAGGAUUCAUGUCACCCAAAAACUUAUGAUAUGUAAAACUAGUAAGCCACACUUGAGCCUUAAAUUGUAUAAAUAGAUUAUGUGAUGUAUUUCUCGACCCAUCCUAUUGUCGCCAUUAACUAUAAAGGUUCGUUUGAUGUACAUAGUAUGAUAAAGACAUGAUAGAAUAAAGACAUAAUAGAAUAAGGAGCAUGAUAGAGACAUGAUAGGAUAUGAAUAUGAUAAGAAGUUAUCGUGUCAUGUGUUUGAUGUGCACAUGAUAAUAAACUUGAUAAGAUUAAUUUAUCAUAUUCAGUGUUUGAUACACAACAAAUAAUCAAAUGAUAUGAUUUAUAUUAUGAUUAAAUAACAAAUUUGUCUUCAUAAUCUAUUUAAUUUUUUUUCUUUCAAAAUAACAUUCAUAUAAUUUUUUUUUUAUAAAACUCAAACAUAAAAGAUGAUACAGAAAAAGGGCAAAUAUGAACCCAAAAAAAAAUCAGAAAUUCUCUGAGUGAAAGUUUAUUUUUUCAACCUUUCGAUAUGAACACAGUAAGAAAACAAUCAUAACUUUUAUCAUGUUGUAAAAUAAAAUAAAUCAGAAAAAAAAAAAAAAACAUCAGGGCAAAUAUGAAAAGAGGAAAUCAACCCAACAUUAACAAUCAUAAAAUAAAUCCAAUAUCAACAACACAAAACAAUAAUAAAAUUAGAUGAAAUCAAAAAAUUAUUUCAUCAAUACAAUAAGAAAAUCAAAGGAAAUUUGAGCAAAUAUAAAAAAGGGGAAAAUAGGUAGAAAUGGUACCUUAGGAGAGGACGACGUUGGAGAGGAACACGAUGGUGGCAGUGGAGAGGGAGAGGAACACGACAAGUUGGGGUGGAGAAGGAGAGAGAAACGUGAAUAGGA